rnacentral:rRNA from 1 species
CCGAUGGCGACCGGCGCACGGGUGAGUAACACGUAUCCAACCUGCCGUCUACUCUUGGACAGCCUUCUGAAAGGAAGAUUAAUACAAGAUGGCAUCAUGAGUCCGCAUGUUCACAUGAUUAAAGGUAUUCCGGUAGACGAUGGGGAUGCGUUCCAUUAGAUAGUAGGCGGGGUAACGGCCCACCUAGCCUUCGAUGGAUAGGGGUUCUGAGAGGAAGGUCCCCCACAUUGGAACUGAGACACGGUCCAAACUCCUACGGGAUGCAGCAGUGAGGAAUAUUGGUCAAUGGGCGAGGGCCUGAACCAGCCAAGUAGCGUGAAGGAUGACUGCCCUAUGGGUCGUAAACUUCUUUUAUAUGGGAAUAAAGUUUUCCACGUGUGGAAUUUUGUAUGUACCAUAUGAAUAAGGAUCGGCUAACUCCGUGCCAGCAGCCGCGGUAAUACGGAGGAUCCGAGCGUUAUCCGGAUUUAUUGGGUUUAAAGGGAGCGUAGGUGGAUUGUUAAGUCAGUUGUGAAAGUUUGCGGCACAACCGUAAAAUUGCAGUUGAAACUGGCAGUCUUGAGUACAGUAGAGGUGGGCGGAAUUCGUGGUGUAGCGGUGAAAUGCUUAGAUAUCACGAAGAACUCCGAUUGCGAAGG